AUUGAACGCUGGCGGCAUGCCUUACACAUGCAAGUCGAACGGCAGCACGGGGCAACCUGGUGGCGAGUGGCGAACGGGUGAGUAAUGCAUCGGAACGUACCUUUCAGUGGGGGAUAACGUAGCGAAAGUUACGCUAAUACCGCAUAUUCUGUGAGCAGGAAAGCAGGGGAUCGCAAGACCUUGCGCUGAUUGAGCGGCCGAUGUCAGAUUAGCUAGUUGGUGAGGUAAAGGCUCACCAAGGCGAGGAUCUGUAGCGGGUAUGAGAGGAUGAUCCGCCACCCUGGAACGGAGACACGGUCCAGACUCCGACGGGAGGCAGCAGUGGGGAAUUUUGGACAAUGGGGGAAACCCUGAUCCAGCCAUGCCGCGUGGGUGAAGAAGGCGUUCGGGUUGUAAAGCUCUGUCGGCCGGGAAGAAAUCGCACGGGCUAAUACCCUGUGUGGAUGACGGUACCGGAAUAAGAAGCACCGGCUAACUACGUGCCAGCCGCCGCAGUAACAC
rnacentral:rRNA from 1 species